rnacentral:misc_RNA from 1 species
GAUGAAGAACGUAGUGAAAUGCGAUAAGUAAUGUGAAUUGCAGAAUUCAGUGAAUCAUCGAAUCUUUGAACGCACCUUGCACCCUUUGGCAUUCCGAAGGGUAUGCUCGUUUGAGUGUCAUUGUACUCUCACACUUCUGAUCCUUUGGAUUGGGAGCGGUGGACUUGGGUGUUGCUGCUUUACUGUGGCUCACCUCAAAUGCAUUCGUGCAACUCUUGGUUGGACAUAGUACGGCGUGAUAAGUAUCUUCGCCGGCACCUCGCAAGAGGGUGGCUGAUCAGGAGCUCUGUGCUUUCCAACUGUCUUCAGACAACAACUGACAACUUGACCUCAAAUCGAGUAGGACCACCCGCUGAACUUAAGCAUAUCAAUAAGCGGAGGA